rnacentral:rRNA from 1 species
AACGUAGGAGACAAACGUUAUCCGGAGUUACUGGGCGUAAAGGGCGCGUAGGCGGCCAUGCGUGUCUUUCGUGAAAUCCCUCGGCUUAACUGAGGACGUGCGGAAGAAACUGCAAGGCUUGAGUCCGGGAGAGGGGGGUGGAAUUCCCAGUGUAGCGGUGAAAUGCGUAGAUAUUGGGAGGAACACCGGUGGCGAAGGCGGCCCCCUGGACCGGUACUGACGCUGAGGCGCGAAAGCGUGGGUAGCAAACGGG